UACAGAAGGCCCGAGCGUUAAUCGGAAUCACUGGGCUUAAAGCGUACGCAGGCGGACCUGAAGGCAUCGUGUGAAAUCCCGCGGCUCAACCGCGGAACUGCACGGUGAACCACAGGUCUUGAGGCAGGUAGGGGUCAGUGGAACCAUGAGUGGAGCGGUGAAAUGCGUAGAUAUUCAUGGGAACGCCAAUGGCGAAGGCAGCUGACUGGGCCUGUUCUGACGCUCAUGUACGAAAGCGUGGGGAGCAAACAGG
rnacentral:misc_RNA from 1 species